rnacentral:rRNA from 1 species
CCUACGGGUGGCUGCAGUGAGGAAUAUUGGUCAAUGGGCGCGAGCCUGAUCCAGCCAAGUAGCGUGAAGGAUGAAUGCCCUACGGGUUGUAAACCUCUUUUAUAAAGGAAUAAAGUGCGGCACGUGUGCCUUUUUGUAUGUACUUUAUGAAUAAGGAUCGGCUAACUCCGUGCCAGCAGCCGCGGUAAUACGGAGGAUCCGAGCGUUAUCCGGAUUUAUUGGGUUUAAAGGGAGCGUAGAUGGGUUGUUAAGUCAGUUGUGAAAGUUUGCGGCUCAACCGUAAAAUUGCAAUUGAUACUGGUAGUCUUGAGUGCAGUUGAGGUAGGCGGAAUUCGUGGUGUAGCGGUGAAAUGCUUAGAUAUCACGAGGAACUCCGAUUGCGAAGGCAGCUUACUAAGCUGCCACUGACAUUGAUGCUCGAAAGUGUGGGUAUCAAACAGGAUUAGAUACCCUAGUAGUC